CCGGAAACAACGAGCUUGCCGAGUUCUUUGACUGAAUACAUAUCCGCGGACACUCUGAAGGCGGCAUUCAAGAUGUUUGUAGGGUCCUCACCUCAGCUACCUCUCACAAGGUGCCCCUGAAAAAGAAAUUCAAGACGUUUGGGUCCUCAGCUCAACUGACCAAGACCUUUGCUCAUUGAAGGCAUGAAGUAAUUUGUGAUGCCCCCACGAUUGCAGUUUUUAAACGCAGAUGGCUUGCUCUUUUUAACAUGUGCGAGAGCUGGAUGGUCUUUCAACAACACUGCUCCGGGUCUUCAGCAAGAAAGGUGCUUCUCAUGCAAGGAAGAUACAGAGGAUCCUGA